rnacentral:rRNA from 1 species
UACGUAGGGAGCAAGCGUUGUCCGGAAUCUUUGGGCGUAAAGCGCGCGUAGGUGGCCUCAUAAGUCCGCUGUGAAAGUCAAAGGCUCAACCUUUGAAAGCCGGUGGAUACUGUGAGGCUAGAGUACGGAAGAGGCGAGUGGAAUUCCUGGUGUAGCGGUGGAAUGCGCAGAUAUCAGGAGGAACACCAAUAGCGAAGGCAGCUCGCUGGGACGUUACUGACACUGAGGCGCGAAAGCGUGGGGAGCGAACAGG